rnacentral:rRNA from 1 species
GACAGAGGGGGCAAGCGUUGCUCGGAAUUACUGGGCGUAAAGGGCGCGUAGGCGGGAUGGCAAGUCGGUCGUGAAAUCCUUCGGCUCAACCGAAGAACGUCGAUCGAUACUGCUGUUCUUGAGGGUUGCAGAGGAGACUGGAAUUCCCGGUGUAGCGGUGAAAUGGUGUAGAGAGUCCGGGAGGAACGACCGGUGGCGAAGGCGGGUCUCUGGGCAAUUCC